rnacentral:rRNA from 1 species
UUAGCACAUGCAAGUCGAGGGGUAGAGUCUUCGGAAUUUGAGACUGGCGCACGGGUGCGUAACGCGUAUGCAAUCUGCCUUCCACAGAGGGAUAGCCCAGAGAAAUUUGGAUUAAUACCUCAUAGCAUUACAGGGUGGCAUCAUCCGGUAAUUAAAGUCACAACGGUGGAAGAUGAGCAUGCGUCCCAUUAGCUAGUUGGUAAGGUAACGGCUUACCAAGGCGACGAUGGGUAGGGGUCCUGAGAGGGAGAUCCCCCACACUGGUACUGAGACACGGACCAGACUCCUACGGGAGGCAGCAGUGAGGAAUAUUGGUCAAUGGGCGCAAGCCUGAACCAGCCAUGCCGCGUGCAGGAUGACGGUCCUAUGGAUUGUAAACUGCUUUUGUACGGGAAGAAACACUGAUUCGUGAAUCAGCCUGACGGUACCGUAAGAAUAAGGAUCGGCUAACUCCGUGCCAGCAGCCGCGGUAAUACGGAGGAUCCAAGCGUUAUCCGGAAUCAUUGGGUUUAAAGGGUCUGUAGGCGGUCUUGUAAGUCAGUGGUGAAAGCCCAUCGCUCAACGGUGGAACGGCCAUUGAUACUGCAGGACUUGAAUUACCGGGAAGUAACUAGAAUAUGUAGUGUAGCGGUGAAAUGCUUAGAUAUUACAUGGAAUACCAAUUGCGAAG